UCCCGGUUGGCCCGGGCAGUCUCGUCUGACACGUAUAACAGACGACAAGGGUUGCGCUCGUUGCGGGACUUAACCCAACAUCUCACGACACGAGCUGACGACGGCCAUGCAGCACCUGUCACCAGGUUCCAAAAGGCACUCCACUGUUUCCAGCGGAUUCCUGGGAUGUCAAGCCUCGGUAAGGUUCUUCGCGUAGCUUCGAAUUAAACCACAUGAUCCUCUGCUUGUGCGGGUCCCCGUCAAUUCCUUUGAGUUUUAAGCUUGCGCUCGUACUCCCCAGGCGGGAUGCUUAACGCGUUAGCUUCUCAGCACAGAGGGUCGAUACUCCAUACUAAUAGCAUCCAUCGUUUACGGCGUGGACUAC
rnacentral:misc_RNA from 1 species